rnacentral:rRNA from 1 species
GACAGAGGAUGCAAACGUUGCUCGGAAUUACUGGGCGUAAAGCGCGCGUAGGCGGCUUUGUAAGUUAGAGGUGAAAGCCCGGAGCUCAACUCCGGAACUGCCUUUAAAACUGCAUCGCUUGAAUCCAGGAGAGGUGAGUGGAAUUCCGAGUGUAGAGGUGAAAUUCGUAGAUAUUCGGAAGAACACCAGUGGCGAAGGCGGCUCACUGGACUGGUAUUGACGCUGAGGUGCGAAAGCGUGGGGAGCAAACAGG